AUUCAAAAGUGGGCUUUGAUGGGAUUGGAUUCAUUUUAUCUAACCAUGUACAUAUUAGUUGUUGGGUCCAAUCAAACAAAUUAGGUGUUUGUGAGGGGUUUUUUUUUGGUCCAACCACAUAUUAGGGUUUAGGUUGGCUUAAGAGAGAUUCUCUUCGGUGUAACCGUUACAUGAGGCUGACGCGUGGGACCCACAUUAUUGUGGGGUCCACAUGUCAUUCUCACACCCGUGAUAUAUAACUGUUACAUCAAAAAAAUAAAGAAAUAAUUAGGGGAUGUAAUUUUCUAAGGAGUGCUUUUCCUAAAUUAUAUAUCACCAACAUUUCUCUUUUG
rnacentral:lncRNA from 1 species